rnacentral:lncRNA from 1 species
GCAGCUCGAGCUGGGCUCUGUUUCUUACCAGGGUUGUUCCACAUGUGUUCAUUCCAGAUCCCAGAUUCUACAGAGCAGCAGCUUCCUCAGGAAGAGUGGCCGUUCUUUUCACGAUAAUGAAAGUGUAAGAAGGAAACAGAAUGGAUGGGAAAGAUACCAUGAGUCUUAAGAAUUAAGGAACAAAAUCAAAUAAGCAGGAAUAAGAGAAACGGUUAACCCAGCCAGCCUGCUCAGAAGAACUGGGUCAUGAACUCCAGGCUUUGCUAAUUUAAGUUUUC